rnacentral:rRNA from 1 species
GUCGCCUACGGGAGGCAGCAGUGAGGAAUAUUGGUCAAUGGGAGAGAUCCUGAACCAGCCAAGCCGCGUGAGGGAAGACGGCCCUAUGGAUUGUAAACCUCUUUAGGCGGGGAGCAAUGCCGGGCACGCGUGCCCGGAGGGAGAGUACCCGCAGAAUAAGCAUCGGCUAACUCCGUGCCAGCAGCCGCGGUAAUACGGAGGAUGCGAGCGUUAUCCGGAUUUAUUGGGUUUAAAGGGUGCGUAGGCGGAUUUUUAAGUCAGCGGUAAAAUGUCCGGGCUCAACCCGGGCCGGCCGUUG